UUAAUAAAAGUUCUCAUCUCAUUCUUAAAAAAAAAAAAAAAAAUCCUAACUCCUUAAAUAUCUACAAGUAGCGCAAGUUAUAAGUAUGUUCAAUUUUCGCAAUCUUAAAUUCCAAUCCAAGAUUUAUGGGGAAAAAGAGAGAAAGAAAUACAAGGAUUGAAGUGUAAAAUUCACUCAAUAUUGGAUGUGUUAUGCAAUUUUCCUUUUUAGGGGUGUGCAGGUAAAACCCGAACGCGUUCAAUUUAACUGACUGUUGAUCUUCUACGUCUGGGGUUCCAUCAAGAAAGAUAACAAAGAAAUACAGGAGUUAGAGAUAUGGGUUCGCGAGGAGCCACCGUGUUGAUGUCGAGGGCAAACAGAAUCAAAACGACAUUGCAGUCGACAUUGGAAGCAGCCACUAUUGAAAUCGAAGACGUUUCCCAUCAACACGCAGGCCAUGCUGCUUUCAAGGGCAAUAAUGCAGAGACCCAUUUCAAUUUGAAGAUUGUUUCGCCCAAAUUCACUGGCCAGACUCUCCUCAAGCGCCACCGUAUGGUUUAUGAUGCGUUGGCGGAUGAACUUAGCUCGGGAUUGCAUGCUCUCUCCAUUGUUGCCAAGACUCCUGAGGAAGAAGCAGCUGUUGCUUCUGCUACUGCUGCUUCCCUUAGAUAACCGCCAAUUUUCCAUUUGGGCAUAUGCUUUGGGAUUUCUACAUUAUCAGCAAGAAGAGUAAUUGUCAAAGGAUGACCAUUCACAAAGCGUCCUAUCUUUGUCAGCUCUAAAGAUGGUUGAUAAAUGCGGUUUUCUCUCUACAUUUGCAGAGAGCCUGUUUUUUCUCCAACCUAUGAUUUUUAUUUCGUGUCACAAGGGAGUAAAUUUACCAUUACACCAAAGCUACUCUCAGUUGUAGGAUACUGUCAUUAUAUAAAAUUGUUGUAAGUCUUGAACUUUUUCCCUAUUGAAUAGAUAUCUCACACUUUAUCUAAUUUCUCAAUUUCAAUUUUCAACCAUGUUAUUACCUUAAUCCUUUGUCUUUGUGACUGACCUCACUCAUUCCAUUCUCUACAUUAUAUGAGACACAGAUAUUCAAAAUGAUUAUUGUGUGAACUUUUACCCCACCAGGUUAAGUUAGCACUACUACUCUUAGGUGGUGUUCGGUAUGAUGUAAUUGAAUGUAAUAUGAUAUAAUGAAAAAAAUUUUAGUUCAUGGCCUGUGGGUGUGAACUUUGUUGUUAUGGCUUGUGUUUUGUCCUUUUUUCUAGUCUAUGUACCAUUGGCUGAUUAAUAUUUGUGGCUUUGUCACUCAUAUGCUUUAAUGUUACCUUUGCUACUCAAAUCCUAGUAAUUGAUGAGAAAAUUGUUCCCUAGAAAUUACAGUUGCAGUUAAUCGUUCCAAACAAAAUACUAAGAAAAUUCAAAAUUCAGGUCUGGGAAAACUAAUUUAGUUCUGUUCUAUUACCAAAGGAAGCAUGAUUUUAGCUUUCUAGAGUAAUUGGGAAGGAGGAUUAAUGUCAAUGAUUGUUGAACCUUGCAAGUUGCACCUACUGCCAGAUAACCUCACAGGCUCACCUUUACUUCUUGUCAGGAUCUAUGAACUUUUUGGAGUAAUAUGUCUGGCAUCUUAACUGCUAACAAAA